CAAAGUAAAAGUCCAUGGAGUCCUCAGCCUUUGCUCUGGGAGCUGAUGAAGACCAAAGCUAAACCGCAUCAUGGAAACAGGAGAAGCGGUGGGAAUUGGUCUUGGAGUGUUCAGUUUUGGCGUACUUGUUGCUGGUUUACUUUGUUGCCUGUAUAAAUGGAAAAAAGGUA